UGAUGUUGUACAAGAUUAUGAUUACCAAGGUUGUUUGGUUCUUUUAUACUGAAAAAUGGUUUCAACAAUGAAGAAGUCGAUCUUUGAUGAACAAACUAACAAGGCCUUAAGGAAAUUGCAAAAGAAUGCUCAAAAGAAGAGAAGGCAUCAUGAUGUGGUUCGAGCUGAAUGGGCAAAUCAUGUUAUACAGUUCUAACUUUGGUUCUGUUUAAGGUAGAUGAGUAGCACUUAGAACUGCUUUUGUGCAUUUAUAUACAACUGAUGGAAAGUGUUGAUGAACUUAAAUUAUGCAUGCAGUUGCUCUGUCUAGCUACUCUUUCUUUACCUUAUAGGUUUUUGACUUGGUGCACUAGGUAAAUGAUCGAGAUAAGAUGGUUUUUUGGUUCUCUCGAUCAUAAUGUAACUGUUGGCUAGGUUUAGAGUUGGAACUAUGGAUUGUAUUUUGGAUGAUGUUGAUGCAAUUAAUGAAACGUAGCCAUCAUUUUCAA